AGGAUGAAUGCUGGCGGCGCGCCUAACACAUGCAAGUCGAGCGGUAAGGCCCUUAGGGGUACACGAGCGGCGGACGGCUGAGUAACGCGUGGGAACAUGCCCCAAAGUGAGGAAUAACUGCCCGAAAGGGUAGCUAAUGCCGCAUAUGAUCUUAGGAUUAAAGGAUUUAUCCGCUUUGGGAGUGGCCUGCGUACGAUUAGAUAGUUGGUGAGGUAAAGGCUCACCAAGUCUACGAUCGUUAACUGUUCUGAGAGGAUGAUCAGUCAGACUGGAACUGAGACACGGUCCAGACUCCUACGGGAGGCAGCAGUGAGGAAUCUUCCACAAUGGGCGAAA
rnacentral:rRNA from 1 species